AACGAACGCUGGCGGCAUGCCUAACACAUGCAAGUCGAACGAGACCUUCAGGUCUAGUGGCGCACGGGGGCGUAACGCGUGGGAACCUGCCCUUAGGUUCGGAAUAACUCUCCGAAAGGGGUGCUAAUACCGGAUAAUGUCUUCGGACCAAAGAUUUAUCGCCUUUGGAUGGGCCCGCGUUGGAUUAGCUAGUUGGGAGGGUAAAAGCCUACCAAGGCGACGAUCCAUAGCUGGUCUGAGAGGAUGAUCAGCCACACUUGGACUGAGACACGGCCCAGACUCUUACGGGAGGCAGCAGUGGGGAAUAUUGCACAAUGGGCUAAAGCCUGAUCCAGCAAUGCCGCGUGAGUGAUGAAGGCCUUAGGGUUGUAAAGCUCUUUUACCCGGGAUGAUAAUGACAGUACCGGGAGAAUAAGCCCCGGCUAACUCCGUG
rnacentral:rRNA from 1 species